GGUCAAGCUACAAAGGGCACACGGUGGAUGCCUAGGCACCAGGAGGCGAAGAAGGACGUGGAAACCUGCGAAAUGCCACGGGGAGCUGGACUCGAGCGUAGAUCCGUGGAUAUCCGAAUGGGGAAACCCGGCGGGCGUCAUGGCCCGUCAUCCUGCACUGAAUACAUAGGUGUAGGAGGCCAACGCGGGGAACUGAAACAUCUCAGUACCCGUAGGAAAGGAAAUCAACAGAGACUCCGUAAGUAGUGGCGAGCGAACGCGGAAAAGCCCAAACCAAUCGAGCAAUCGAUUGGGGUUGUGGGGCUCCGACAUGGGACCUGGAGGGUUAGCAGAACGGCUUGGGAAGGCCGGCCAGAGCGGGUGACAGCCCCGUAUGCGAAAAUCCAAGAGGCCCUAGGAGAACCCCGAGUAGAACGAGGCACGUGGAAUCUCGUUCGAAGCUGGGAGGACCAUCUUCCAAGGCUAAGUACUCCCUGGUGACCGAUAGUGUACUAGUACCGUGAGGGAAAGGUGAAAAGAACCCCUGUGAGGGGAGUGAAAAGAACCUGAAACCGUGUGUCUACAAGCAGUAGGAGCACUAUGGCCAUUGGCAACGUGCGACUGCGUACCUUUUGCAUAAUGAGCCAACGAGUUGUGGUUUGUGGCAAGGUUAACUCGAGAGAGGAAGCCGAAGCGAAAGCGAGUCUGAAUAGGGCGUCAAGUCACAGGCUGCAGACCCGAAACCCAGCGAUCUAUCCAUGGGCAGGCUGAAGCGCGGGUAAGACUGCGUGGAGGGCCGAACUCACCACAGUUGAAAAUGUGGGAGAUGACCUGUGGAUAGGAGUGAAAGGCUAAUCAAGCUGGGAGAUAGCUGGUUCUCGCCGAAACAUAUUGAGGUAUGGGGUCGGUCGAUUUCCGCGGGGGGUAGAGCACUGGAUGAGCUAGGGGGACCACAAUCUUACCGAACUCAACCAAACUCCGAAUACCCGUGAGAACAGGCCGGCACUCAGGCGCUGGGAGCUAAGUUUCAGUGCCAAGAGGGAAAGAACCCAGACCGCCAGCUAAGGCCCCCAAGUCGUGACUAAGUGGUAAAGGAUGUGGGAACGCUUAGACAGCCAGGAGGUUGGCUUAGAAGCAGCCAUCUUUCAAAGAAAGCGUAACAGCUCACUGGUCGAGCGAGCCUGCGCCUAAAAUUCAACGGGGCUCAAGUCACGCGCCGAAGCUGCGGGUUCUCGAAAGAGAGCGGUAGGCGAGCAUUGUCUGGACGAUGAAGGCGUACGGUAACGAGCGUUGGAGUGCAGACAAGAGCUGAUGUUGGCGUGAGUAGCGAUAAACAGGGUGAAAAACCCUGUCGCCGUAAACCCAAGGGUUCCUGGGUAAAGAUAAUCUGCUCAGGGUUAGUCGGUCCCUAAGCCGAGGCCGAAAGGCGUAGGUGAUGGGAAGCAGGCGAACAUUCCUGCACCGGCACGGAUGGUUUCACGAGGAGGGACGGAGGAGGAUAGUCGAGCGUCCAUGAGGAUUGGGCGUUCAAGCCAGUAGGCUGGGUGCGUAGGAGGCGAUGGCCACAAACGCGCACCCAAGGCCGAGAGGUGAUGAGGCGGGCCCCCCGGGGCCUCCAACUCGAUGAUUCCACGCUUCCAGGAAAAGCUUCGCGUGAGUGUACCGCUGUGCCGACCGUACCCUAAACCGACACAGGUGGGUGGGGAGAAGAUCCCAAGGCGCUCGAGAGAACCCGGGUUAAGGAACUCGGCAAAAUCACACCGUAACUUCGGGAGAAGGUGUACCCCAGCUGGUGAAGGACCUGCGUCCGGAGCCGGAGGGGGUUGCAGUGAAUCGGGGGUAGCGACUGUUUACCAAAAACACAGGACUCUGCUAAGUCGCAAGACGACGUAUAGGGUCUGACGCCUGCCCGGUGCCGGAAGGUUAAGAGGAGAUGUCAGCGCAAGCGAAGCAUUGAAUCGAAGCCCCGGUAAACGGCGGCCGUAACUAUAACGGUCCUAAGGUAGCGAAAUUCCUUGGCGGGUAAGUUCCGUCCUGCACGAAUGGCGUAACGACUUCCCCACUGUCUCGACCCGGGACUCGGCGAAAUCGAAAUCGGGGUGAAGAUGCCCCGUACCUGCGGAGAGACGGAAAGACCCCGUGAACCUUUACUGCAGCUUGGCACUGCAGUUCGGGCUUGUCUGUGUAGCAUAGGUGGGAGACGUUGAAGCCGGGCCGCUAGGUCUGGUGGAGUCACCGUUGAAAUACCACCCUGAUGAGUCUGGACUUCUAACCGAGACCCGUAAUCCGGGUCCGGGACACUGCCUGGUGGGUAGUUUGACUGGGGCGGUCACCUCCUAAAGAGUAACGGAGGCGCGCAAAGGUUCCCUCAGGUUGAUUGGAAACCAACCGUAGAGUGUAAAGGCACAAGGGAGCUUGACUGCGACACAUACAAGUGGAGCAGAGACGAAAGUCGGCCUUAGUGAUCCGGCGGUCCUGAAUGGAAAGGCCGUCGCUCAACGGAUAAAAGGUACUCCGGGGAUAACAGGCUGAUCUCCCCCAAGAGUUCACAUCGACGGGGAGGUUUGGCACCUCGAUGUCGGCUCAUCGCAUCCUGGGGCUGGAGCAGGUCCCAAGGG
rnacentral:rRNA from 1 species